rnacentral:rRNA from 1 species
AGUGAACGCUGGCGGUAGGCCUAACACAUGCAAGUCGAACGGCAGCACAGUAAGAGCUUGCUCUUACGGGUGGCGAGUGGCGGACGGGUGAGGAAUACAUCGGAAUCUACUUUUUCGUGGGGGAUAACGUAGGGAAACUUACGCUAAUACCGCAUACGACCUACGGGUGAAAGCAGGGGAUCUUCGGACCUUGCGCGAUUGAAUGAGCCGAUGUCGGAUUAGCUAGUUGGCGGGGUAAAGGCCCACCAAGGCGAGGAUCCGUAGCUGGUCUGAGAGGAUGAGCAGCCACACUGGAACUGAGACACGGUCCAGACUCCUACGGGAGGCAGCAGUGGGGAAUAUUGGACAAUGGGCGCAAGCCUGAUCCAGCCAUACCGCGUGGGUGAAGAAGGCCUUCGGGUUGUAAAACCCUUUUGUUGGGAAAGAAAAGCAGCAGGUUAAUACCCCGCUGUUCUGAAGGUACCCAAAGAAUAAGCACCGGCUAACUUCGUG